rnacentral:rRNA from 1 species
AACGAACGCUGGCGGCAGGCCUAACACAUGCAAGUCGAGCGAGAUCUUCGGGUCUAGCGGCGGACGGGUGAGUAACGCGUGGGAAUAUGCCUCUUGGUACGGAAUAGCCUCGGGAAACUGGGAGUAAUACCGUAUGUGCCCUUUGGGGGAAAGAUUUAUCGCCAAGAGAUUAGCCCGCGUUGGAUUAGGUAGUUGGUGGGGUAAUGGCCUACCAAGCCGACGAUCCAUAGCUGGUUUGAGAGGAUGAUCAGCCACACUGGGACUGAGACACGGCCCAGACUCCUACGGGAGGCAGCAGUGGGGAAUCUUAGACAAUGGGGGCAACCCUGAUCUAGCCAUGCCGCGUGAGUGAUGAAGGCCUUAGGGUUGUAAAGCUCUUUCAGCUGGGAAGAUAAUGACGGUACCAGCAGAAGAAGCCCCGGCUAACUCCGU